rnacentral:lncRNA from 1 species
AAACCUCCUGCAAAAGUGGAAGCGAAGCCGAAAAAGGCAGCAGCGAAGAAAGUUCUGUUUUUGUGAUCCUUUUAAAAAUAAAGCUUCACGGAAGGAUAAAUCUUCAGACAAAAAAGUGCAAACAAAAGGGAAAAGGGGAGCAAAGGGAAAACAGGCCGAAGUGGCUAACCAAGAAACUAAAGAAGACUUACCUGCGGAAAACGGGGAAACGAAGACUGAGGAGAGUCCAGCCUCUGAUGAAGCAGGAGAGAAAGAAGCCAAGUCUGAUUAAUAACCAUAUACCAUGUCUUAUCAGUGGUCCCUGUCUCCCUUCUUGUACAAUCCAGAGGAAUAUUUUUAUCAACUAUUUUGUAAAUGCAAGUUUUUUAGUAGCUCUAGAAACAUUUUUAAGAAGGAGGGAAUCCC